rnacentral:rRNA from 1 species
AACGAACGCUGGCGGCAUGCCUAACACAUGCAAGUCGAACGAGACCUUCGGGUCUAGUGGCGCACGGGUGCGUAACGCGUGGGAACCUGCCCUUAGGUUCGGAAUAACUCCCCGAAAGGGGUGCUAAUACCGGAUAAUGUCUUCGGACCAAAGAUUUAUCGCCAUUGGAUGGGCCCGCGUUGGAUUAGCUAGUUGGUAGGGUAAAAGCCUACCAAGGCGACGAUCCAUAGCUGGUCUGAGAGGAUGAUCAGCCACACUGGGACUGAGACACGGCCCAGACUCCUACGGGAGGCAGCAGUGGGGAAUAUUGGACAAUGGGCGAAAGCCUGAUCCAGCAAUGCCGCGUGAGUGAUGAAGGCCGUAGGGUUGUAAAGCUCUUUUACCCGGGAUGAUAAUGACAGUACCGGGAGAAUAAGCUCCGGCUAACUCCGUG